AUUGAACGCUGGCGGAAUGCUUUACACAUGCAAGUCGAACGGCAGCACGGACUUCGGUCUGGUGGCGAGUGGCGAACGGGUGAGUAAUGUAUCGGAACGUGCCCAGUCGUGGGGGAUAACGUAGUGAAAAUUACGCUAAUACCGCAUACGAUCUAUGGAUGAAAGCGGGGGAUCGCAAGACCUCGCGCGAUUGGAGCGGCCGAUAUCAGAUUAGGUAGUUGGUGGGGUAAAGGCCCACCAAGCCAACGAUCUGUAGCUGGUCUGAGAGGACGGCCAGACAUACGGGAACUGAGACACGGUCCAGACUCCUACGGAAGGCAGCAGUGGGAAAUUUUGGACAAUGGGCGCAAGCCUGAUCCAGCCAUUCCGCGUGGAGGAUGAAGGCCCUCGGGUUGUAAACUGCUUUUGUACAGAACGAAAAGGUUUCUACUAAUACUAGGAGCUCAUGACGGUACUGUAAGAAUAAGCACCGGCUAACUACGUGCCAGCAGCCGCCGUAA
rnacentral:rRNA from 1 species